CUGAUCGUCUGAGUCUGCCUCCCUGGGACUGAGGCGGAUCCAGAGGGCACAUCACAGCUGGACGCUCAGAACAGAGGUCCCGGGGCCAGCCAGGGUCCUUGGCCUGAGUCAUGGCAACAGAAGCCAAUCGAGCAGCCACAGUUACCCCCAGGUCUGGAGCUGAAGGGCUCCCUCCGUGGCAGGGCCUCAGCCACCCCCAGCCUGGCCAGACAGAUCAACCCCAGAAAGUCCCGCCCCAGGAGAAGCCCAGGAGGAGGAGCCGCCGUCUCAAGGAGCUGGGGGCCUGCCAUGUUGUCGUCGCUCUGCUGUACGUGUUCCUUGGGGGUUACCUGGCCGCCAUCGUCCAGAGCCUUCACCUGGUGGUGCUGAAGUCUUGGUAUCCGUUCUGGGGGGCUGCUUCUUUCCUCAUUUCAGGGAUCUUGGCAAUAACAAUGGAGACAUUUCAGAAAAAUUACCUGGUAAGUCACAGCGUUGAGAGUGUUCCCUUCCAUCCCAAGCCUGGGGUAACUUUUCAACGGGCAUCGUUUGGAGUGCGGACUCAAGAGGCAUCUCUCCAGGAUUUGCUAGACGUGGGCACCAGCCUCUGGGACAGCAGAGGGCGUCCGGGCUGAAUGGUCCCCCUUCCUGGAGGUCUGACCUCACACCCUGACUCCCGCCUUUCUCUCCACCUGCUGCCCUCUCCCCACCCCGGUUCUGGCCUAGAGACAGGCAUCAUCCAGCCUAUUGAUGGUAGCCUUGGAGAUUGUUCUGCCAGCCCUACCUUGGCCCCCUGGGCCCCGCCAUCAUACUCCCUACCCCACCCCACCCAAGGCUUGCCUCCAACAUCAGCAAGUCUACCUGCCUGCAGGCUGGACCGCAGCUGGGUUUCCAUAUACGUCUCACCUCUAAGCGCCAGCUGGACACAAGUGGUCCCCCCUGUGCUCUGUGCUGUCUUGUGCCCAGGCACCUUGCCUCUCCCCACUGUGCAUGUUCUCCUGGCUUUGACUUCCUCCUGAUCAUUCUUCAAGGUGCACUUUACAUGCCUCCUCCUCCAGGCAGUCUUCCCUGACCUGCCCUGGCUGGCUCCUGUGUCCCCACAGCUCCUUGGACUUCUCUGUCUCCUUUCUCUCUCAGGCACUAAGCUUGGGCAGCAACUGCCUGAGCAUCUUUCUAGCCCGAGGCAGCCCAGGGAGGCACAGAGUGGACACCCACAUGAGCCCAAGUGGAUGGAGGUGGAUGGGGGCGGGAAGGACCAUCCCAUCCACCCUGUGUCAUGGCCUCAGCACCCCCUCCACCCCCAAGCCCUGGCUGGGUCCACAUUCAUGCCUCCCAUUGCUGAUGAACGGGGAUGGCCUGUCUCUUCUGUGAAUUCACAGGAUCUGAUGGAAAAAAGGGAAGACUCGCCAUCCAGCUUCUCCACUUCCCACCACCUCCCUCUCCCCAAGGGGCAGGGCAGCCCAGGCAUGGUCCCUUGCUCCUCCCUGGCUUGUGCUCUGGCUGUCCCCACCGCCCUCUGUCCGCAGGAGCAGUCUUUGCUGGGGCUGGGGACGUGGAGUAUGGGGCAGGGUGUGGUGCAUCCGAGCUCAUUCAGCCAGGACGUGCGCAAAACUCAUCUCGGUCAAGCGCCAAGGCCGGCUCACAUUCGUGCCUCCCAGACCGGGCUGGACUGGCUGCCCCCUGCCCUCUUGGGGUGUAGCAGACAAAAGCAUGUUGUGCCACUUACCCAGCAGAGGCAGGGAUGCUUGGCAGAAACCUGGCCAUUCCUCCUGGGCUGGGCCCCUUCCAGACCCAUAAGCCUACCCCUUCCUACACCUGAACGCGGGGAGCCUCUCAUUGCAGAGAAAUCCAUUCUAGCAUAAGAGGUUGGGGUGCCUUAUGUUUAUACCCUUUCCCCAUUAUAGGGGUUUGUACUUGGCAAGAAUCCUGUGGAAUAAGGUGAGACCCAAGACGAUGAGGAAUGAGGCAUUUCCGGGGCUAUGGUGGGCAGGGAAGGGGGUGACCUGAGUGAGUGAAGAUAGGGCACCUUCGGGGCUCAUCCCACCUGGGUCGGGGGGCCAUUUGGGUGUCGAGACUCUGAUCAGUUAGCAUAUCUGCUGCCAGGAUGACUGGGAACAGCUUGGAGAGAAAGACGGCAGAGCAGGGGGUGGGGGCUUCCUUCCUUAUUGCAAAGCCUGUGGAUCCAGAGGUGGUCCUUGCAUUCUCUGGGUCCCAUCCCAUAGAAGGCGAGGGCCAGUUGGGGCUCCUCGUGGUCAGCCAGCUCAGAAAGCUGUGUGUGGGUGAACUUCUGGCCCAGAGACAGGCAGCAUUUUCCUGAGGUCACAAAGUGAGCUACUGGCUGGCCUGCGUGGAGGACCGAGGACUCAUCUCUGACCUUUGGACUACAGCUGUCACUCUUUUUUUGCUUGUAGGCGGCGUGCCUGACAGCAAAUGCCAUCAGCUUCUUCUGUGUGCUCUGUGGCCUCUUUGUCAUCGCCAAGGAUCUCUUUCUGGAGAGCCCAUUUGACUUCCCUGUCUGGAAACCAUACCCCAACGACACAGUCCACAUCCAGAGGCUGGUGCUGGCCCUGCUCUGCGUCACCUGCCUGGAGGUCUUCCUGCCGGGGCUCAUGGCCAUCCUGGCUUAUAGGGAUACCCGCCUGGCUGCAGAGAAGGAUGACCUGUCCCUUGGCCCUGACAUGCUGUUGGAGCUCAGGGGGUCUCCGAUGACACCUCCACCAUCCUAUGACGAUGUGACUAAAGGCAACGGGUGGCAGGAGCAGAAGCAGAUGUGAAGAGGCACUGGCUCCACGCACCAUCAGAAUUCACCCACUGGUCCCUUGUCCUGGACAGAUUAAGGACCAAUUCCAAGGGGCGGUUACCAGAAGGGGGCAAACGGUACCAUGGCUAAAAACGUCUGCCCCAUGCUGGUGGCCAGGGAGGGGAAGUCCCCAUUCUGUCUGGCAUGGGAGGGACCUCCAGGUCCCCACGCCCCGUAACAUCCCAGCUGGACCAGAACACAACUGGGUCCUGCCCACCCACCCAGGCAGACACGGGAACAGACCCCUGGGUCCGCAGCCCCCUCCCCCACCCUCCUUGUCUGCUUCCCCCAGUCCCUGGUGGGCACAUAGACAUCCUGUCCACGUGGGGCUGUGCCUGAAGAGGAGAAGGGUCCUCAGAGCCCAGAUGGGCACCGUUUUCCCUGGACUCGACCUACCAAGGGGUCUCUACAAACACUUGUGUUUGAAUCCCUGGAUUCGGGGUGGAAACAGCAGGGGCAAUCAGACAGAAACUAUGACCAGUUCUUCCUCCCAAACCAUCAGCAUGUCUCCCCGCCCCCACCCCGGGGCCUCAGUGUCUCCAUCUGUACAGGGAAGGGGCGGGUGGAAGAUGUGACCAGGACCUACCUGCUGGGAAGUUCUGAGAUCAGAGUCAAGUUCACUCAAGGUUAUCAAGGAAGCAUCAGCAUCAGAAUUCCACACCUCCUUGUGCUGAGCGAAUAGUGGGGAGAGAGACCUACCUUCCUCAUUUCCCAAAUUUUCAGUCAUCCAAGGGCCGACCUUACAAAUUUGGUCUAUUUGUGGACUGUGCUGUAUUCCCUUUAUGUUCCCUUAAAUUGCCUUUUUUUCUCAUGCACUAUUAUGUGAGGGGUAAUUUGCAUCAGCAACAAACAGGAAGUCUGUACCUAUCCAUACAAAGAAGCCAACCACAAAAAUCACGUAAACACGGUAAAAAUAAAACAAAAGCAACUUGUCGCC
rnacentral:lncRNA from 1 species